CAAUGUCAGUUAUUGUACUUUUACUCUAGCUUGCCCAUUUUAUCUUAUUUUGGACUCAAGUCAGUGAGACUUAGUUGUUUCUCUCUUUGUACAUUUACAAACACAAUCCCUUUUGAACAAAACCUGGUUGAACUGAGAGCAAAUCUUCACAUCCAGUGAAAAUAAAUGUCUCGUGACCAAGUGACGUCAACUAAGAGCUUGCCCUGUACAGCAGCCAUAUACGUUCUUCAAAACACUGUUGUCUCUCUAUAUGAUUGUUUUUUUGUUGAGUCUACAGUUUACAAAUUGUUUAUGAAGUUAGAAUUUUUUUCAACAAUAUUUAUUUACAUUUUUUUCACAAUACAACUACAGUGGUACCUCCACUUACCAACGCCUAUACUUACAAACUUUUUGCGGUAUGAACCGGAUUUUUUUGCAUGUAUGUACUUACGAACAACAUUUCGACUUCUGAACCGGCGCCCCAACCCCCACAUCACCCUUGACGCAUACAAUAAUUUAUUAGCCUGACUUUUUCUAUAUCUUCUCGGGGGUAGUUUUAACAAGUGUACAAAAUUAGAACAGGUUCCCCCUCCCCCAAGCAAAGUUAGGAGGUCAAUAAUAAUGUGACAUUUGUUAUAAAGGUUUGAAAACCUAAAAAUAAAACCGUUGUUUUGGUUUUCUGUAUGUUUUACACGGAGUAAUACGGCAAAAGUCUGACUUUUGGGAUUGUCCUGCACGCAUUAUUUGCUUUCAUAUUGAUUCCUAUGGGAAACAUUGCUUCUACUUACAAACCUUCCACUUACAAACCCAAUAACGGAACAAAAUAAGUUCGUAAUUAGAGGUACCACUGCAAUUAACUAUUUUGGGUUGUUACAAGUCUGUGG